CACUCAUUUAGCUGCAUCUCACAAUUGUUGAUAUGUUAUGCAAUUAUUAUCACUUAGUUCAAAAUAUUUUCUAAUUUCCCUUGUGAUUUCUUCCUUUACCCAUGGGUUAUUUAAACAUAUGUUGCAUGCCAGGCACAGUGGCUCAUGCCUGUAAUCCCAGCACUUUGUGGGGCCAAGGCAGGAGAAUUGUUUGGGGCCAGGAGUUUGAGACCAGCCUGGGCAAUAUAGCAAGACCUUGUCUCCACAAAAUAAAUAAAUAAAUAAAUUGGAUUAAAUUAAACUAUCCAGGUAUAGUGGCACCUGUCUCUAGUCCCAGCCAUUCAGGAGGCUAAGACAGGAGGAUUUUUGAGGCCAGGAGUUUGAGGUUAUAGUGAGCUAUGAUCACACCACUGCACUCCAGCCUAGGCAACAGAGUGAGACUCUUGUCUCUUAAAAAAUCAUAAUAAUGGCUGGGUGCAGUGGCUCAGGACUGUGACCAAUUUGGGAGGCCAAGGUGGAUGGAUUACACAAAGUCAGGAGUUCAAGACCAGCCUCGUCACCAUAAUGAAACACUGUCUCUACUAAAUAUAUAAAAAUUAGCCGGGCAUGGUGGCGGACAUCUGUAAUCUCAGCUACUUGGGAGGCUGAGGCAGGAGAAUCACUUAAACCCAGGAGGGGGAGGUUGCAGUGAGCCAAGAUCAUGCCAUUGCACUCCAACCUGGGCAACAAGAGUGAAACUUUAUCUCAAAAAAAAUUAUAAUAACAAUAUAAAAGUAUGUUGCUUAAAUUCUAGAUAUUUUAUUGUUCUUUAUUUCUAAUUUACUUCCCUUGUAGUAAUAGAAAAUAUUCAGCUUUAUACCAAUUCUUUGAAAUUUAUUGUCUUGUUUUAUAGCCCAGUAUAUGGUCUAUUUUGGUGAGAAUGUGUUUCUUGCUGUUAUUCAUGAAGUGUACUAUAAAUGUCAAUCACAUCAAGUUGGUUGAUAAUGUUUUGUAAAUUUUCUACAUACCUACUGAUUUUCUGACUACUCAUCGCAUAGUCAGAAGUUGAGAGAAGAAUGUUGAAAUACCCAACUGUAAUCAUUUCAGCUUUAUCAGUUUUUCCCUCAUUCGCUCCAUUUUGAAGCUCUGUUAUUGAGUCCAUGCACAUUUCAGAUUGUUCUGCCUUCUUGAAUUCAACUCGUUAUCAUUAUGCAAAUCCUUAUUUGUUCUUAGCAAAUGUCUUGCUUGGAACUCGAUUUUGUCUUACAUGAAUACAACCACUACAGCUUUCGUUGUUAUUGUUGUCGUUUUACUUCAAUCACCUCCUUGACAAGUACAUUCUUAUGAUAAUCAAUUUCCAUGGCACAGACUUAUGUUCAAAUUUAUAGUUAAAGUCCAUUUCUUACAGAACAAAACACUGGUUACCAGGGGCAGGGGUGAGUAGGAAAUGAGGAGAUGUACAUCAAAGAAUGCAAAGUGGUAGAUAUGUAGAAUGAACAAGCCUACAGAUCAAAUGUACAACAUGAGGAUUAUAGGUAAUAAAAUUGUACUCUCUAUGGGAUUCAAGCUAAAUGAGAUUUUUAGCUGCCCUUGCCACAAACACAAAAACCAUGAGUAACUGCACGAGAUGAUGGAUAUGUGCAUUUGCUUCACAUUUGCCAGUUUCUUUCUUUUUUCUUUUCUUUUUUUUUGGAUCACGAAGUCAGGAGUUGGAGACCAGCCUGGCCAACGUGAUGAAACAUUUGCCAGUUUCUACUCGGGAGCUCUUGUGUCCGUCUGCAACACGGCUGCUUGUAGAAAGCUGCGGUACUGGAGUUCCACCUAGUGUUUGUCUAUGGUACUGCAGACUCUGGUGCUAGACCAAACCACCUUGAUCACCUUUGCUCUUAACCAGCCCCAACCUGAGCCCUGUUCAGAAAGAAGUCGACAGUUGGAGGUUUCCUCCAUAUGAUAUCAUGCCAUGCCAGAGGGAAGGGCUCUGAUGAGUGAAUGCCACAAAUUUUCCUGCUAGGUUUUGAUGGGGUUGGCUUCACACUCAAUUAGGGUGCAAGAACCUAUUAACUGGUUUCUGGAUUUUUCAGACAAGCAAAAAAGCACCACCCAUGCCUCUGAGAACAUUGGACCAUGCACCCUUGAAGAAAGCUUUGCCUCCUUAUCACAAGCAGUCUUCCUCCAGCAGUCAAGCAUGCCUGUGUACAUGAUGUCAGUUCCUUUGUGCCCCAACUGCAUCAUCCUGUGGCAGCGAACAGUGUCAAAUGGAUAGGAAGUCAACCCAGCAAUAGCAGUGACAGUCUGUGUGAUCAUCCAGCUGAUGAUGAUGUGAGUGUCCUUGGGAUCUGGAUGCAUUCCGAAAAGGGAACUCUUAUACAUUGAUGGUGAAAAUACAACUUAGUACACCCAUUAUGAAAAAUGAUAUGGAGUUUCCUCAAAAAACUAAAAAUAGAAUUACCAUACAACCCAUUAGUCCCACUUCUGCAUAUCCAAAGGAACUGAAACAAGUAUGUCAAAGGAAUAGCUGUGUUCUGUUCAUUGCAACAUUAUUCACAAUAGUCAAGAUGUGAGAACAACCUAAGUGUCCAUCAAUAGAUGAACAGAUAAAGAAAAUGUAACAUAUAUACACAAUAGAAUACUAUUCAGCCUUAAAAGUGGGUGUUUUGAGCCUGCCAAGAAUUUAAAAAAAAAAAAAAGUGGUGAACACCCUAUCAUUUGCAACAACAUGGAUGAAUCUGUAGGACAUUGUGCUAAGUGAAAUAAGCCAGGCACAAAAAGACAACUAUUUUAUGAUCUCAUUUAUAUGUAAAAUCUAAUAAAGUUAAUCUCAUAGAAGUAGAACGUAGAAGGAUGGUUACGAGAGUUUGGGGAGAAGGGUGGGAAUUGUUGAUCAAAGGGUACAAAGUUUCAGGUAGGAAGAGUAAGUCUUGGGAUCUAUUGCAACAGUGGGGUGAAUAUGGUCAAUAAUAAUAAUACAAAUAGGAUGUAAAUGUCAAAUGUCCCACCAUAAAAAAAAGAUAGGUAAGUGAAAUGAUGGAUAUGUUAAUUAGCUUAAUUUAAUUCUGCCACAUUUAUACAUAUAUCAUUAAAUUGUAUCCCAUAAAUGUAUGCAACUAUGAUUCAUUGCCCAAAUAAUGUUAAAAUAAAUAAAUGUUUUUAAAUUUUUAA